CAAUGGGCACAUCCACCUGGUGCAGGAAAAAGACGGGCACUCUGGAGCCGGAUACGCGGGCUCCACCACAGACAGGCUCCUCCUCAUAAUGGGUGCCUCUGGAAUGGCUUCCGUCACCGAAUGCACACAGGUGGGAGGAGUCUGAUCCUCCUGAGAGGGGUUUUGGCCGAGGAGAACCACAGGAGCUGAGUUUCUGUUGCGUAGGACAGUGACAACGCUCCUCCUGAAGACAUGAAGCUGCUGCAUGCCGGGCGCACAGAAGGGGCUCAGUAAACAGACCCAUCCAUUCUCACAAUUUAUGGCAUCUCACGGACACGGACACAGCACUGACACACCGCUUUCCUUUAGCAACCCUCAUGGAGCCAAACUCCUUUCUGCACAUCGACCUGGCAGCCACGGAGGCUGGAACUGGAAGAAGCCAGUCUGGCUCCUCGCAGUUCAGUCAGUGCUCG